AUGUCUUUUUUUUAGAUAUUAAACACAACAUACACAUAACAAUUCACUAUGAAAAUACAUAACAAAUUACAUGAUAAUAAAAUAUUAAGAUAUUCCAAAAUGUUCACAAGAAGUUAUCUACAUUAGGGUACAAACAGAUGAAUCAGUCAAAGACAUUUACAGCCAGAUGUGCCUCCCUCCUUGUCACUUAAAAUUACUUUGAAGCAUCUGGUGAGACCAACCCACCAAGGUUCAGGCAACAAAACGUUUCAGGGGGUCAACAAGAAAGACGGACAAGGAGGGAACACGACUCCUAGAUGAGUUGUCUCAUCAAUGUCAGACACAAUGCUGAACGGAGCCAGUGCAUACACCCCCGUCAUCCAUCUCACCCCCGAAGACACA